GAUUUAUGUGUAAUAUUAUUUUAUGGAAUAUUAUAUGGUUGAAAAUAAGAGAAGAAAAAAAUGAAAGAGAAUGAAGGCCAAACGAGAGUUAAUUUGCAAAUCCAUCGCCCAUUUCUCAAUGGAUUUUUCUAAGUGUACAGUUCACGUAGUACUGUAGACUUACAAGCCCCUCAUGUAAGGGGAUGUUAUGCUUGGUGUAUAUGGCUCUUUCUCAAUUGUCAUAUCACUCGUGUAUGUUCCCCAAAGAGGCGAUAGCAUUAAAUUAGUCAAAUACACGCUGCUGACUCUUUUAAAAGUAUAAUUUAGUUAGGUAUUCAUUAAAGGCUAUUUCUUGAUAUCCAUAUGUGAAAAACAAAGUAAAAUUCCAUUCAUGUUAACGGUGUCCAAGAAACAUGUACGUAUCAAGAUUUUCAAGGCAUUUUAGUAAUCCAUGCUGCAGAUUUGCUGAUACUAUGCUAACCCUUCUUUUUGCUCUAGAAACGACUCCAGCAUUAUUAAAGAUGAAAGUUUUCCGUCACUGUUAGCGCGGAAUCAGUGAUGGCUAAACCACAUCUUUAAGCCAAUGACUUGUAUCAACUUUCACUACCAGAAAUCACUAGAUUUAAGCAGUAGUAUGGGAUUAUGGAGUUCAAUAAAUAUUGGGACCCAUACGAUGGAAGAAAAAAGUUCAAUAAAUAUUGGGACCCAUUUAACGGAAGAAAAAACAAAAAUUAAAAAAUAAAUUUGAUUUUUUAGCCAUUUGUCUGUUGAUGUUUGUAUAUAAAUUAUUGGUAGUAGCUUACUGUGCAAAUCAAUGGGAUAUAUAUCUUUUUGAUAGGGAGAUUAUUUUAUUUCAUUUCCUUUUCAUGAUCCAGCAUAUGUUUGAAAAAUUCUGGAUUCUCCCAUGAGAAGAUUUCAUAUUCAACUAGCAAUCCUAGG
rnacentral:lncRNA from 1 species